rnacentral:rRNA from 1 species
AUUGAACGCUGGCGGCGUGCCUAAUACAUGCAAGUCGAACGGGGAAAGUAGCAAUACGAGUACUAGUGGCGCACGGGUGAGGAACACGUGGGUAAUCUGCCUUCGAGCGGGGGAUAACUAGUCGAAAGAUUAGCUAAUACCGCAUAAGACCACAAUGUCUGCGGACAAAGGGGUCAAAGUCGCAAGACACUUGAAGAUGAGCCCGCGUAAGAUUAGCUAGUUGGUGAGGUAAUGGCUCACCAAGGCGAUGAUCUUUAGCUGGUCUGAGAGGAUGAUCAGACACACUGGAACUGAGACACGGUCCAGACUCCUACGGGAGGCAGCAGUGGGGAAUAUUGCACAAUGGGGGAAACCCUGAUGCAGCCAUGCCGCGUGUGUGAAGAAGGCCUUCGGGUUGUAAAGCACUUUCAGCGAGGAGGAAAGGUUGGUUGCUAAUAACUGCCAGCUGUGACGUUACUCGCAGAAGAAGCACCGGCUAACUCCGUGCCAGCCGCCGCGGUAA